AACGAACGCUGGCGGCGCGCCUAAUACAUGCAAGUCGAGCGAGAAGACGUAGCAAUACGUUUGUAAAGCGGCGAACGGGUGAGGAAUACAUGGGUAACCUACCCUCGAGUGGGGAAUAACUAGCCGAAAGGUUAGCUAAUACCGCGUACGCUCCUUGGACUUCGGUUCAGGGAGGAAAGCGAUACCGUGGGUAUCGCGCUCUUGGAUGGGCUCAUGUCCUAUCAGCUUGUUGGUGAGGAACGGCUCACCAAGGCUUCGACGGGUAGCUGGUCUGAGAGGACGAUCAGCCACACUGGCACUGCGACACGGGCCAGACUCCUACGGGAGGCAGCAGUAAGGAAUAUUGCGCAAUGGGCGAAAGCCUGACGCAGCGACGCCGCGUGGGGGAUGAAGGUCUUCGGAUUGUAAACCCCUUUCGGGAGGGAAGAUGGAACGAGCAAUCGUUCGGACGGUACCUCC
rnacentral:rRNA from 1 species